rnacentral:rRNA from 1 species
AACGAACGCUGGCGGCGUGCCUAACACAUGCAAGUCGAGCGGGGGGAGUACUUCGGUACAAACCUAGCGGCGGACGGGUGAGUAACACGUGGGUAACCUGCCUCAAAGUGGGGGAUAGCCUUCCGAAAGGAAGAUUAAUACCGCAUAACCCAUAGCUUCCGCAUGGAAGCAAUGGUAAAGAUUUAUCGCUUUGAGAUGGACCCGCGGCGCAUUAGCUAGUUGGUGAGGUAACGGCUCACCAAGGCCACGAUGCGUAGCCGACCUGAGAGGGUGAUCGGCCACAUUGGAACUGAGACACGGUCCAGACUCCUACGGGAGGCAGCAGUGGGGAAUAUUGGACAAUGGGCGCAAGCCUGAUCCAGCCAUGCCGCGUGAGUGACGAAGGCCUUAGGGUUGUAAAGCUCUUUUGGCGGGGACGAUAAUGACGGUACCCGCAGAAUAAGCCCCGGCUAACUUCGUGCCAGCCGCCGCAGUAAUAC